rnacentral:rRNA from 1 species
UACGAAGGGGGCUAGCGUUGCUCGGAAUUACUGGGCGUAAAGCGCACGUAGGCGGAUCCUUAAGUCGGUGGUGAAAUCCUGAAGCUCAACUUCAGAACUGCCUUCGAUACUGGGGACCUUGAGUUCGGGAGAGGUGAGUGGAACUGCGAGUGUAGAGGUGAAAUUCGUAGAUAUUCGGAAGAACACCAGUGGCGAAGGCGACAUACUGGCUCAUUACUGACGCUGAGGCUCGAAAGCGUGGGGAGCAAACAGG